rnacentral:rRNA from 1 species
UACAGAGGGUGCGAGCGUUAAUCGGAAUUACUGGGCGUAAAGCGUGCGCAGGCGGUUUUGUAAGCCAGAUGUGAAAGCCCCGGGCUUAACCUGGGAAUGGCAUUUGGGACUGCAAGGCUAGAGUGUGGCAGAGGAGACUGGAAUUCCUGGUGUAGCAGUGAAAUGCGUAGAUAUCAGGGGGAAUACCGAUGGCGAAGGCAGGUCUCUGGGUUAACACUGACGCUCAUGCACGAAAGCGUGGGGAGCAAACAGG